rnacentral:misc_RNA from 1 species
GAUGAAGAACGCAGCGAAAUGCGAUACGUAAUGUGAAUUGCAGAAUUCAGUGAAUCAUCGAGUCUUUGAACGCACAUUGCGCCCCCUGGUAUUCCGGGGGGCAUGCCUGUCCGAGCGUCAUUGCUGCCCUCAAGCACGGCUUGUGUGUUGGGUCUCCGUCCUCCUCCCGGGGGACGGGCCCGAAAGGCAGCGGCGGCACCGCGUCCGGUCCUCGAGCGUAUGGGGCUUCGUCACCCGCUCUUGUAGGCCCGGCCGGCGCUUGCCGACACAUCAAUCUUUUUUCCAGGUUGACCUCGGAUCAGGUAGGGAUACCCGCUGAACUUAAGCAUAUCAAUAAGCGGAGGA